rnacentral:rRNA from 1 species
AAAGGAAUAGACGGGGGCCCGCACAAGCGGUGGAGCAUGUGGUUUAAUUCGAUGCAACGCGAAGAACCUUACCUGGGUUUGAAGAGUGAUGGACAGGUGGUGAAAGCCACUCUCCCCGCAAGGGGCCGUUACUUAGGUGCUGCAUGGCUGUCGUCAGCUCGUGUCGUGAGAUGUUGGGUUAAGUCCCGCAACGAGCGCAACCCUUGUUCUCAGUUACCACCAUUCAGUUGGGGACUCUGAGGAGACCGCCGGUGACAAACCGGAGGAAGGUGGGGAUGACGUCAAGUCCUCAUGGCCUUUAUGUCCAGGGCUACACACGUGCUACAAUGGACGGUACAAACCGCUGCAAGCUCGCAAGAGUAAGCCAAUCGGAUAAAACCGUUCUCAGUUCGGAUUGUGGGCUGCAACUCGCCCGCAUGAAGCUGGAAUCGCUAGUAAUCGCGGAUCAGCACGCCGCGGUGAAUACGUUCCCGGGCCUUGUACACACCGCCCGU